CUGCUCUGGUUCUGGGUUCUUCUAGUUUUGUCUUGUUUUCAUGUUUGGUGCCUGUUCUAGCCUUGCCUUGUUUCUGUACUGGAUACAUUCUUGCUGCAGAGCCCCCCUAUUCAGCUCCUGGGAGGUCUGCUUAUUUCCUAGCCCCUAGUUCCUGGGAUCCGCAUAAGCUGAAUAAGGGUUCUGGUAUGUGGCUGCACAAAUGCUGGUGCUCAACACCAGGGAGCGUGCGGUUACCCUGCACCAGACCCUGCUAAUCCACCUUCACACUGUGACUCCUACUCUGAACAUCAGGCAUACUGGGUCCCGGGCCUCGCACCGCCGUCCAGACAGUAGCUGGGUCCUGGGCACCGGACCGCCACCCUGACACCUUGUCAGUGUCAGCCAAUCCUAUGGGGAAGCAUUGUGAUUGGAUCAGGCUACCACUUCUGAUGAUGUCAGCAGACUGCUUGUUUUUCUGAGUCUAACAGCAUGCAGAGUUACAGCUUCAGGUUUGAAUACAGUAAGAUUUUUACUACAUUUAUGGAGGCAUUAGGGGCACAGGGGUGCUAGAUGGUGGUUUUAACACUAUAGAGUCAGGAAUACAUGUUUGUGUUCCUGACCCUAUAGUGAUCCUUUAACCAUCACCGUAUCACUUACCGAUAUAAAUCUUACAUUAACCGUCACCAUAUUCCUUACCAAUAUAAAUCUUACAUUAACCUUCACCGUAUCCUUACCAAUAUAAAUCUUACAUUAACCAUUACUGUGACGAAGUGCCCUUCGCCACUUGUGCCUGGAGAGGACUGAUUUGGCCUGUUCAAUUCAGUAUGAUAGGAGUUAUGUAUUUUUGUAUCCUUUUGUGUUUUCUGGGAACAUGUGCUCAAUGGAGCCUGCCUCUAUCCCUGGAUAAUUGGAUUAUUUUCUCCAUUGUCUCCAGGCUGGAGGGAUCUGUAAAACCAGUUUGGGCCAGAUAUCCAUGCUGCCAGCCAGGCCCCAAAAGAUACUUUACUAACUUCUGAACCCCUGGUCUGAUUCAUGCCAUUUUUUGAUAUGUUGUUUCCCUGAAUG